rnacentral:lncRNA from 10 species
CGCGGUCAGAGAAAGGAUGUGGUAUAGCAGAAAGUUUAAAUAGCUCCUGCAACAAAGGGAAGAGAGAUCUGUUGACUUCUGCCUCCUAGAGGGUUGAAAUUGGAAAGAACAAUACUUGAAUAGUUCGUACAGAAAGCAUUGAAGAUGAAAAAUUCAUCACAUUUUGAAAAGCUUCACUAAUCACUUUUGGGAAAUCAGAAAGUUCUAUUGGACAACACUGCUUCAAAGGAUACCUAUUCUUGGAAAUGAAUCUUAUCCGGCGCAGAAAACGCUGAUUGUUGCUAUAGCUUGCUGUCCAAAGAAUCCCAGCUUUCUAAGAUGAUUGAUGUCUCUUCCCCAGUCACAAUGUGGAGAAAUUAACUGAGGCUGUGGAUUUGGUAUAAUUAUUAAGAAUUCUGAAAAUUUCCUUCAAGAGUUGUUUGUUACUCUAAAUUGUAAUAAUAAUAAUAAUAAUAAUAACAAUAACAAUAAUAAAACCUCUGUGUCUC